rnacentral:rRNA from 1 species
ACGGGAGACACACGGCGGGUGCUAACGUCCGUCGUGAAGAGGGAAACAACCCAGACCGCCAGCUAAGGUCCCAAAGUCAUGGUUAAGUGGGAAACGAUGUGGGAAGGCCCAGACAGCCAGGAUGUUGGCUUAGAAGCAGCCAUCAUUUAAAGAAAGCGUAAUAGCUCACUGGUCGAGUCGGCCUGCGCGGAAGAUGUAACGGGGCUAAACCAUGCACCGAAGCUGCGGCAGCGACACUAUGUGUUGUUGGGUAGGGGAGCGUUCUGUAAGCCUGUGAAGGUGUACUGUGAGGUAUGCUGGAGGUAUCAGAAGUGCGAAUGCUGACAUAAGUAACGAUAAAGCGGGUGAAAAGCCCGCUCGCCGGAAGACCAAGGGUUCCUGUCCAACGUUAAUCGGGGCAGGGUGAGUCGACCCCUAAGGCGAGGCCGAAAGGCGUAGUCGAUGGGAAACAGGUUAAUAUUCCUGUACUUGGUGUUACUGCGAAGGGGGGACGGAGAAGGCUAUGUUGGCCGGGCGACGGUUGUCCCGGUUUAAGCGUGUAGGCUGAUUUUCCAGGCAAAUCCGGAAAAUCAAGGCUGAGGCGUGAUGACGAGGCACUACGGUGCUGAAGCAACAAAUGCCCUGCUUCCAGGAAAAGCCUCUAAGCAUCAGGUAACAUCAAAUCGUACCCCAAACCGACACAGGUGGUCAGGUAGAGAAUACCAAGGCGCUUGAGAGAACUCGGGUGAAGGAACUAGGCAAAAUGGUGCCGUAACUUCGGGAGAAGGCACGCUGAUAUGUAGGUGAAGCGACUUGCUCGUGGAGCUGAAAUCAGUCGAAGAUACCAGCUGGCUGCAACUGUUUAUUAAAAACACAGCACUGUGCAAACACGAAAGUGGACGUAUACGGUGUGACGCCUGCCCGGUGCCGGAAGGUUAAUUGAUGGGGUUAGCGGUAACGCGAAGCUCUUGAUCGAAGCCCCGGUAAACGGCGGCCGUAACUAUAACGGUCCUAAGGUAGCGAAAUUCCUUGUCGGGUAAGUUCCGACCUGCACGAAUGGCGUAAUGAUGGCCAGGCUGUCUCCACCCGAGACUCAGUGAAAUUGAACUCGCUGUGAAGAUGCAGUGUACCCGCGGCAAGACGGAAAGACCCCGUGAACCUUUACUAUAGCUUGACACUGAACAUUGAGCCUUGAUGUGUAGGAUAGGUGGGAGGCUUUGAAGUGUGGACGCCAGUCUGCAUGGAGCCGACCUUGAAAUACCACCCUUUAAUGUUUGAUGUUCUAACGUUGGCCCGUUAUCCGGGUUGCGGACAGUGUCUGGUGGGUAGUUUGACUGGGGCGGUCUCCUCCUAAAGAGUAACGGAGGAGCACGAAGGUUGGCUAAUCCUGGUCGGACAUCAGGAGGUUAGUGCAAUGGCAUAAGCCAGCUUGACUGCGAGCGUGACGGCGCGAGCAGGUGCGAAAGCAGGUCAUAGUGAUCCGGUGGUUCUGAAUGGAAGGGCCAUCGCUCAACGGAUAAAAGGUACUCCGGGGAUAACAGGCUGAUACCGCCCAAGAGUUCAUAUCGACGGCGGUGUUUGGCACCUCGAUGUCGGCUCAUCACAUCCUGGGGCUGAAGUAGGUCCCAAGGGUAUGGCUGUUCGCCAUUUAAAGUGGUACGCGAGCUGGGUUUAGAACGUCGUGAGACAGUUCGGUCCCUAUCUGCCGUGGGCGCUGGAGAACUGA